AGUUAUACGUUAAUAAAUAGCAAGGCGCUACCAUGCAAGUCGACGGUAACAGGAAGCAGCUUGCUGCUUCGCUGACGAGUGGCGGACGGGUGAGUAAUGUCUGGGAAACUGCCUGAUGGAGGGGGAUAACUACUGGAAACGGUAGCUAAUACCGCAUAACGUCGCAAGACCAAAGAGGGGGACCUUCGGGCCUCUUGCCAUCAGAUGUGCCCAGAUGGGAUUAGCUAGUAGGUGGGGUAACGGCUCACCUAGGCGACGAUCCCUAGCUGGUCUGAGAGGAUGACCAGCCACACUGGAACUGAGACACGGUCCAGACUCCUACGGGAGGCAGCAGUGGGGAAUAUUGCACAAUGGGCGCAAGCCUGAUGCAGCCAUGCCGCGUGUAUGAAGAAGGCCUUCGGGUUGUAAAGUACUUUCAGCGGGGAGGAAGGCGAUGCGGUUAAUAACCGCGUCGAUUGACGUUACCCGCAGAAGAAGCACCGGCUAACUCCGUGCCAGCAGCCGCGGUAAUACGGAGGGUGCAAGCGUUAAUCGGAAUUACUGGGCGUAA
rnacentral:rRNA from 1 species